rnacentral:rRNA from 1 species
CCGAAAGUAGCGGCGAGCGAAAUUGGACUAGCCCUUAAGCUUUACACGCGUUAGACGAACGGUCUGGAAAGUCCGACGAUACAGGGUGAUAGUCCCGUAGUUGACGACGUGUGUUCAGUGAAAUCGAGUAGGGCGGGACACGUGAUAUCCUGUCUGAAUAUGGGGGGACCAUCCUCCAAGGCUAAAUACUACUGACUGACCGAUAGUGAACCAGUACCGUGAGGGAAAGGCGAAAAGAACCCCUGUGAGGGGAGUGAAAUAGAACCUGAAACCGUGUACGUACAAGCAGUAGGAGCAGGCUUUGUCCUGUGACUGCGUACCUUUUGUAUAAUGGGUCAGCGACUUAUAUUCAGUGGCAAGGUUAACCAUCUAGGGGAGCCGUAGGGAAACCGAGUCUUAACUGGGCGUUCAGUCUCUGGAUAUAGACCCGAAACCAGGUGAUCUAGCCAUGGGCAGGUUGAAGGUUGAGUAACAUCAACUGGAGGACCGAACCGACUAAUGUUGAAAAAUUAGCGGAUGACUUGUGGCUAGGGGUGAAAGGCCAAUCAAACCUGGAGAUAGCUGGUUCUCCCCGAAAGCUAUUUAGGUAGCGCCUCGGACGAAUACUACUGGGGGUAGAGCACUGUUAAGGCUAGGGGGUCAUCCCGACUUACCAACCCUUUGCAAACUCCGAAUACCAGUAAGUACUAUCCGGGAGACACACGGCGGGUGCUAACGUCCGUCGUGGAGAGGGAAACAACCCAGACCGCCAGCUAAGGUCCCAAAUUACUACUAAGUGGGAAACGAUGUGGGAAGGCUCAGACAGCCAGGAUGUUGGCUUAGAAGCAGCCAUCAUUUAAAGAAAGCGUAAUAGCUCACUGGUCGAGUCGGCCUGCGCGGAAGAUGUAACGGGGCUAAGUAGUAAACCGAAGCUGCGGCAAUGUGCUUUUGCACAUUGGGUAGGGGAGCGUUCUGUAAGCGGUUGAAGGUGUGUGGUAACGCAUGCUGGACGUAUCAGAAGUGCGAAUGCUGACAUGAGUAACGAUAAAGGGGGUGAAAAACCUCCUCGCCGGAAGACCAAGGGUUCCUGUCCAACGUUAAUCGGGGCAGGGUAAGUCGACCCCUAAGGCGAGGCCGAAAGGCGUAGUCGAUGGGAAACGGGUUAAUAUUCCCGUACUUCUUACAAUUGCGAUGGGGGGACGGAGAAGGCUAGGUGGGCCUGGCGACGGUUGUCCAGGUUCAAGUGCGUAGGCU